rnacentral:rRNA from 1 species
GACGAACGCUGGCGGCGUGCUUAACACAUGCAAGUCGAACGGAGCACCCUUGACUGAGGUUUCGGCCAAAUGAUAGGAAUGCUUAGUGGCGGACUGGUGAGUAACGCGUGAGGAACCUACCUUCCAGAGGGGGACAACAGUUGGAAACGACUGCUAAUACCGCAUGACGCAUGACUGGGGCAUCCCGGGCAUGUCAAAGAUUUUAUCGCUGGAAGAUGGCCUCGCGUCUGAUUAGCUAGAUGGUGGGGUAACGGCCCACCAUGGCGACGAUCAGUAGCCGGACUGAGAGGUUGACCGGCCACAUUGGGACUGAGAUACGGCCCAGACUCCUACGGGAGGCAGCAGUGGGGAAUAUUGGGCAAUGGACGCAAGUCUGACCCAGCAACGCCGCGUGAAGGAAGAAGGCUUUCGGGUUGUAAACUUCUUUUGUCAGGGAAGAGUAGAAGACGGUACCUGACGAAUAAGCCACGGCUAACU